GACGUAGGGCGCGAGCGUUGUCCGGAUUUAUUGGGCGUAAAGAGCUCGUAGGCGGCUUGUCGCGUCGGCUGUGAAAACCCGUGGCUCAACCAUGUGGUCUGCAGUCGAUACGGGCAGGCUAGAAUUCGGUAGGGGAGUCUGGAAUUCCUGGUGUAGCGGUGAAAUGCGUAGAGAUCGGGAGGAACACCUGUGGCGAAGGCGGCCCCCUGGGCCGGCCCUGACACUGAGACGCGAAGGCGUGGGGAGCGAACGGG
rnacentral:rRNA from 1 species